rnacentral:rRNA from 1 species
UACGUAGGGUGCAGGCGUUAAUCGGAAUUACUGGGCGUAAAGCGUGCGCAGGCGGUUUCUUAAGUCAGAUGUGAAAGCCCCGGGCUUAACCUGGGAACUGCGUUUGAAACUGGGAGACUUGAGUGUGGCAGAGGGGGGUGGAAUUCCGACGUGUAGCAGUGAAAAUGCGUAGAUAUGUGGAGGAACACCGAUGGCGAAGGCAGCCCCCCUGGGUUAACACUGACGCUCAUGCACGAAAGCGUGGGGAGCAAACAGG